rnacentral:siRNA from 1 species
AGCAGAUCCGAGCGGAGAUGAGG